GACAGAGGGUGCAAACGUUGUUCGGAAUUACUGGGCGUAAAGCGCGUGUAGGCGGUCUGUAAAGUCGGGUGUGAAAGCCCCGGGCUCAACCCGGGAAGUGCACUCGAAACUCACAGGCUAGAGUAUCGGAGAGGUUGGUGGAAUUCUCGGUGUAGAGGUGAAAUUCGUAGAUAUCGAGAGGAACACCGGUGGCGAAGGCGGCCACCUGGACGGUCACUGACGCUGAGACGCGAAAGCGUGGGUAGCAAACAGG
rnacentral:rRNA from 1 species